UACGUAGGGGGCAAGCGUUGUCCGGAAUCAUUGGGCGUAAAGCGCGCGUAGGCGGCCAGAUAAGUCCGGUGGGAAAGUCACAGGCUCAACCUGUGAAUGCCGCUGGAAACUGUCUGGCUUGAGUCCGGAAGGGGCGAGUGGAAUUCCUGGUGUAGCGGUGAAAUGCGCAGAUAUCAGGAGGAACACCGGUGGCGAAGGCGGAUCUCUGGGCCUUACCUGACGCUGAGGCGCGAAAGCUAGGGGAGCGAACAGG
rnacentral:rRNA from 1 species